AAAGACUAAAGCCGAACGCCUCAGAACUGUUAUACGUUUCCGAAGUAUGAAGCCCCACUACGAAAGUGACUUUACUCCCCCUGACCCCACGAAAGCUGUGAAAAAACCGGGAUUAGAUACCCCAUUAUGCCCAGCCCUAAACUUUGAUAGCCCGUUACAACCCCUAUCCGCCCGGGUACUACGAGCAUUAGCUUAAAACCCAAAGGACUUGGCGGUGCUUAACAUCCACCUAGAGGAGCCUGUUCUAGAACCGAUAACCCCCGUUAAACCUCACCCUCUCUUGUUUCUCCCGCCUAUAUACCGCCGUCGUCAGCUUACCCUGUGAGGGACCUAUAGUAAGCACAAUUGGUAAAACCCAAAACGUCAGGUCGAGGUGUAGCUAAUGAGAGGGGAAGAAAUGGGCUACAUUUCCUACUCCAGGAAAUACGGACAAUGUUCUGAAAUGGACAUUAGAAGGAGGAUUUAGUAGUAAGCAGGAAACAGAGCGUUCCGCUGAAAAUGGCCCUAAAGCGCGCACACACCGCCCGUCACUCUCCCCAAGCUACCUAAAAACCCACAUCUGCAAAGGGGAGGCAAGUCGUAACAUGGUAAGUGUACCGGAAGGUGCACUUGGAAAAAUCAGACGUAGCUAAG
rnacentral:rRNA from 1 species